UCCUGGCUUAGGAUGAACGCUAGCGGCAGGCUUAACACAUGCAAGUCGAGGGGCAGCGGGAUGUAGCAAUACAUUGCCGGCGACCGGCGGAUGGGUGCGUAACGCGUAUGCAACCUACCUUAUACAGGGGAAUAACCUUUCGAAAGGGAGACUAACACCCCAUAGUAUUGAUUUAAGGCAUCUUAGAUUAAUUAAAUAUUUAUAGGUAUAAGAUGGGCAUGCGUAUGAUUAGCUAGUUGGUAAGGUAACGGCUUACCAAGGCGACGAUCAUUAGGGGUUCUGAGAGGAAGGUCCCCCACACUGGUACUGAGACACGGACCAGACUCCUACGGGAGGCAGCAGUGAGGAAUAUUGGUCAAUGGGCGCAAGCCUGAACCAGCCAUGCCGCGUGCAAGGAAGACGGCCUUAUGGGUUGUAAACCGCUUUUACAUAAGACUAACCGUAUAUUUGCGAAUAUACCUGAAUGUAUUAUGAGAAUAAGGAUCGGCUAACUCCGUGCCAGCCGCAGC
rnacentral:rRNA from 1 species